CAGUUGUUGCACUGAGACUUGUGCAUGCUGGGCAAGGCCAAGCUGGCUCAAAGAGCAACCAGCAACCUCUGCAAGGGUGUGCCAGGAGGAGGUGGACCAGCCACGAACAUCACUCGCUGCCGGACAUGGUACCUCAGUUCUUCUACCCUAAAGCCACAUGAGUUUUAGCCAAUUCAGAAGCCUUGUUCCCCACAAUUUGGAGCAUUCUUUGGAUCUGACCAAGUCAGGAAGAGAUGGGAGAAAAGUGAAACAACAUCAACAAAACCCCAAACAUAAACAAACAAAAAGAGUUAAGCAAAACAAACAAAUGCACAAUUCAUAUGAUUACUGAAUGUUCUAAUGGUAAGGAGAAAUUAAAAGCAGCUGGUGAGUAAUCUUAAAUUUUAGUCAUUAAGGAAAAAUUUUAAGACAAAACUCUAAUUCAGCUACUUACCUGGAAAUAAGUCUCAGGCUAGUGAUUGUUCUCUGCCAUCUUAGAAGCUGGAAAAAACUUACACUCACCUUCCCUGUCAGAAGCAAGCUGAAACUCAAGAAAGGAGGUGCCUGCUCUCCAUCAUCAUGGAAGCAGGAAAACUUGCCUUGUUGGAAAUAAGUAAAACUUCAGAAAAGGAGUUGUAUGGCAAUCAAUCUUAGAUAUCAACCAAAUUUUGGGAGAUCAGGGAUUCUCUGCAGGGGAGAAGCUCCCUAACCUCAGCACAUUAUCCUAUUGGUUUGGGCAAUAAAGAUAGCCCAGGUUGGUAUCAAGCAAUAAUGAGAUUUAUCAAAGGUCAGGACCACCUUUGUAAUCUCCUUCUCUGUGUUUUUUUUUUUUUUUUUUUUUUUUUUGAGACGGAGUCUCACUGUCUCUCCCGGGCUGCAGUGCAGUGGCACGACCUUGGCUCACUGCAAGCUCCACCUCCCAGGUUCACACCAUUCUCCUGCCUCAGCCUCCCAAGUAGCUGGGACUACAGGCACCCGCCACCAUGCCCAGCUAAUUUUUUGUAUUUUUUGUAGAGACGGGGUUUCACCGUGUUAGCCAGGAUGGUCUUGAUCUCCUGACCUUGUGAUCCAUCCAUCUCAGCCUCCGAAAGUGCUGGGAUUACAGGCGUGAACCACCGCGCCCAGCCCUCUGUCUUUUUUUUUUUUUAAAUCUUUAUUGGUAUAGUCUGUUUUGUCAGAAACUAGGAGUGCAACACCUGCU
rnacentral:lncRNA from 10 species